AAUAAAUCAAACAAGAAAUAUACAAAACUGAUAUGAAGAUUAGCAACAAUGUUUUUAUAUAAGAAUAAAAUAAUAUUCUUCUUCUUGGCUUUUCCACGAUACUUAAAAUUCAGUUUUAUCAGUUUACUUCUUGCACAUCUUCCCAUCCAAGACCAUGUCUCUGUAGCUUUACAGGCUUUCAAAUCCCUCUUCACAGUCGUCUCCUACCAAAUCUUAAUCUAUUGUAUUUGUAAGAACCACGGAGGUGUCCUCAAAGAUGGCCAUAAAAAUUUGUCAGAAUCUGACACCAGGAGCAGAUUUAUUUCGUGAU
rnacentral:lncRNA from 1 species